UACGUAGGUGGCGAGCGUUAUCCGGAUUUACUGGGCGUAAAGCGGGUGUAGGCGGCUCUUCAAGUCGGAUGUAAAAUCUCCCGGCUUAACCGGGAGGGACCAUUCGAUACUGCUGGGCUAGAGUGCAGCAGAGGAAGGUGGAAUUCCCGGAGUAGUGGUGGAAUGCGUAGAUAUCGGGAGGAACACCAGUGGCGAAAGCGGCCUUCUGGGCUGUAACUGACGCUGAGACCCAUAAGCGUGGGGAGCAAACAGGAUUAGAUACCCCGGUA
rnacentral:rRNA from 1 species